UACAGGAUGCCCUCUCUAAAACAUCUACGGUGGCCUACGUGGACACACUGGCGGGAGACAGUGAAGGACACAUCCGCUUCAAGACCCCCGAGGAAGCCCAGGCCGUCGUCAACGACCGCUCGGCCGUCGCCAAGGAACACGGCUGGACGCUGGAUCUGCUCUCCGGUGAUCAUGAGUAAAGGUAUUGGCAGAAGAUUUUGGUGGACCGCCAAGUGAAGUUGAAGGAAACGAGGAACAGAAAAGGUGGGAGAAAAAUACAAAUAUGAACUCCAUGUCUGGUUGGAAAUACAUGCAGGGGAUAUCUCCUUUAACACUCUCUAUUGUUGUUGUGUGUGGGUUAUACGGUGGGCAAUGGGAUUGUACGGUGGGCAAAUGGGAUUCACCAAUAUGGCGGCUUGGAAUGUGCGUUUUCUUAAAGGGGUACAUCCGGCAAAAGUCUAGGUGGACACGCCCACUUGUGAUGUCACUUAGUGAUGGGUCGUUUGCGACCGAAUCAGUUUGAAGGAACGACUCUUUAACAAGAACGAACCGACUUGAUUCCACGUUUCAUUUCUCUCUUGUUCGUCUCUAUAGUUCGUUCUCCCAGACUCGACUCCCACUCACUGACUCGCUGUUCACAAAAGAAAAGUAUAGCAAUAAAUGUCAAACAUCAGUUGUCUUAUUUUGGCAGUGACUGGUUUAUUAAAAAGUCUAUUUAAAUACGUUCUUUGAACUUAUUUUAACAGUUAGUGCAAGUUGUGCCAUUAUGUGCAUUUUAAGAAUAAUUCUUAAUGUCAGCUUAAACACAAUAUUUGAAUAGUUUGGUGUUAAUAAUUUAAAAAACAAAUGACAAUGUUCAUUAGUGUGGUCUAUAAUACAAACUGUUUUCUUUCUUCUACAACACAGUGCAGUUGAAACGUCAUUUUAUUUGACCUUUGCACCCCGUCGUGUGCGGAGGCAUAAACACGGGGUCAAAGGUCA